UGUUGAUUUAAGCAGAGUCUCGUGCCCAGCGGAAGGAUGAGGAAUACGUGCUGCAUACUCUAUAUUGCUUUAUUUACAGUUCAAAGCUGGUAUAUUACAGAAAGACAUCUUGCCUCUGCCGGAGCAGAAAAUGCAUCCUCUCUCCUCGACAGCUCGGAGAGAAUCACACAGUGAAAAACAGGAAACCAGUGUACGUCACAUCCAGUCUCCCUUUCCCGUGAGAAACUCCAACAGUACAGACUGUGGAAUGUAAACACCUGUCUCGUGACAAGCAGAGCUGCACAGUGAAGGAAAGCAGAAACCAACAUCCUCCCCUUUCUGUGAACAUCACUGGGCAGCGUGUUUGUACAAUAUCAGUACAAACCCAACUUCUGCACAUAGGUACAGUGUUGAUCCCUCGAUACAAUCUUGGACAAUACAUCAGCAGGAAUUUCAUUACCUGGCAUAUAGGACACCGUUACGAGUCCCUUCUGAAUACAUUCCCUAGCAUGCUGCAACUUUAAUUGUAAGUGCUUUGUGCUUUGCUUACAACCUUCAGACUUCAGCAAAGCCAAACAUGCUUUGUUGUCCUGGUAAACCUGGAUUGGACAUUUGACAGGAAUUUUCAUAUCUUUGCACAAUUGUACUAACCAUUCACAAUCCUUAAGUGAAUAAGACAGUGCAUUCAGUUCGGCUUCACAAGUACUUAAGCUAACUGUUGUUUGCUUCUUGCAUGACCAAUCAAACAGACCCUGAUUGUACAUGUAGCAAACUCCAGACGUACUUUUCCUGUCUGUAGUGUCACUUCCAAAACUUGCAUCUGCAAAUAUCUCAAGACCACCAGACUUCUGAUUGUUAAAUCUCAGUCUGUAAUGCAUAGUGCCUUUCAAAUACCGCGCUAUGCGUUUCAGAGCUUUCCAAUCCUUGACACUAGGAUUGUUGACUUGUCUGCUUAGCAAAUUACAGCUAACAGCAAUGUCUGGUCUUGAACAUCUGGCAAUGAAGUUUAGCUUGCCUAGCACACUCCUGUACAGUGUAGUGUCAGAAAAUGCUUCUUCAGUGUCAUCUACCUGAUAACCUGUUGUCAUCGGUGUGUCUACAGGGUUAGCAUCCAUCAGAUUUAGUUUGCUUAACACAUCAGCAAUUUUCCGUGACUGGUGUACUAGAAUGUUACCAUCUUGAUCUCUCUCUAUUUCCAGAGAUAGGUAGUUGUUUACCUCACCAAGAUCUUUCAUGUCAAAGUGCUCUUUCAGUUGAGCUAGGGCGCUAUUGUACAUUGCAACAUCUUUCCAAAAGAAUAAUAAAUCAUCAACAUAAAACAAACAGUACAGUUUCUUUUGCCCCUCCUCUUUGACAAAUACACAUGGAUCAGCUUCCCUUGCUGAAAACCUAGAGAAAACAAUACUUCAGUGAGUUUUGUGUGCCAACACCGUGCACUUUGUUUGAGACCAUAAAGGGAUUUCUUCAGAGCACAAACAAAUCCCUGUUUUACCUGUACGCCAUCAGGUGGAAGCAUAUAAAGUGAUUCAUCUAGAGAUCCGUACAGAAAAGCUGUAUUAAUAUCAUGGUGACUAAUGUGUAGAUUUUCCUCUGCAGCUAGCUUGAGCAUAAGCCUAAUGCUUUCAUAUCUCACUGUGGGUGAAUAGGUCUCGUGAUAGUCUUCACCUGGUACCUGUGCAAAACCUCUGGCUACCAAUCUGGCUUUGUGUCUGACUAUCUUGCCAUUUUGAUCUGUCUUCGCUUUGAAGACCCAUUUGCUUCCAAGCAGUUUCAUUCCUGGAACUACUGGAACUAGCUCCCAUGUUUUGUUCCUUUCUAAGGAAUCAAGCUCAGCCUUCAUGGCAUUUAACCAUGGCUCAGCUUCCUUUGAAUCCAAACCCUGGAUUUCUUGGAAACUUGAAGGUUCAAAUACCUUCUUGGAGCUUUUAACAGCUGUUACUGCUAUCGUAGCAAACUCAUCAGCAAAUCUCUUUGGAGGUUUGCCUUUUGUGGCUCUCUGUGACCUACGAAUUAGCCUUAAGUCUUCAACACUCUCCUCUUCCUUCUUAGGAGAAAAACGACCUAUUGUGAACAAUGGUUCCUCCAAUUCUUGAUCAGAGCUUUCAGAGGGUCGCAUAGAGGCUUUCGCACUCUCGAAAUCCUCUGAAUCACCCGAUUCAGUUUCAGAUUCAGACUCAGAACUUUCAUCAGUGGGUGUGGGUUGUUGUGGUUGCUUUUGACUAUCCUCAGUCUCAUCACCGUCAUCAGGAUAACAUUGGAAAAUUCCCACAUUCUCCCCCCACUGUGCAUUGUACUCAACACUUCUCGUGAGCUUAAUUGUCUUAGAGUCAGUCAUCAUUAUUCUGUAAGACCCUUUCUGAUAACCUAGAAAGAUACCAUGCAAUCCACGCUUGUCUAACUUGGAGUUUUGUGGUGAGCGAACCCACAUGUCAGAACCAAAAUCUUCAUGUGUUUGAUGUAUGGCUUCUUGCCAAACAUCUUCUCAUAGGGGGUACAACCAAUCGCUGAAGAUAACCUGCGAUUGUAACUGUAAACAAAACACGAGAGAGAUUCGGCCCAAUAACUCUCUGGAAGAUUGGCAUCAUGCAGCAAGGUUUUUAACCCUUGAAGCAAUGUCUGAUUUGCCCGUUCCGCAAGUCCAUUCUGCCAUGGCGAGCGAGGACUAGACAAAUCGUGUUGAAUUCCUUUCUCAGUCAGAAAAGCUUCAAACUGCUGAGAAGUGAAUUCCCCCCCGCGAUCACUGAAAAGAGUCUUUAUCUUCUUACCAUGCACAUUUUCCAACCAAGCACAGAAUUCCUUGAACCUAGGAAAAGCCUCCGAUUUCUGCUUGAGAUUGUACACAAAAAUAUAUCUAGAAAAUGCAUCAAUGAGAACCAUGAAGUAUCUAUUUCCACCCAAAGAGGGCGCUAGUGGUCCAACCAAAUCAGCAUGAACAACCUGGUAUGGUUCUGUAGCUUUCCUACUAGACACCUUACCUUUCGCAGCCAUUUUCACCUUGUUUGCUGCGCAUGCUUUGCACUUCAUGUGGUACCUGCAGGGUUUAAUAGUCAUACCUUCAACCAAGGCAGGCAUUUUAGAUACUGCCUCAAAAUGCAAAUGACCAAAUUUUCGAUGAAAAUCGUGAAUACAUUCUGCAUGCAAACUUUUGUUAGAACCUGCAAUGCAACAAGUGUCAUCCUGCACCACAUCAUCAUAAUACAAAACAAACAAACGAUCAACAUAUUCUGCAUGCAAUACAUAAUCAUUUUUCUUUGUGAUGAUGCACUUCUUGUUCUUGAAGGAAACGUCAAUGUUCCGCUCAUUCAGCUGUCCAACGCUGAGCAGAUUAUGUUUGGCGUCUGGCACGUAAAGCACAUUCUGUAUCGAUAAGUCCAAACUGUGAAGAACAACAGUUCCGUAGCCUUUACUGGGAAUAGUGUGGUCAUCCGCCUGGUGAAUCGCACCUUCCUGCGGUGUAAAAGACACAAACAGUCUCUUAUCGUUGCACAUGUGGUGGGUGGCCGCUGAAUCAACAACGAAGAAAGAUCUAGACGUCUUCUGGACCUCUGCAACCUUUGGAGUGAAGCGUGAAACCAUAGCCUUGUGCUGCGUUGUCCUAGACACCGGACCUUUGCCUUUGCCUCGGCCUUUUCCGCGCGAUGAGCUUUCGCUGCGCUGCUCUGUCUUGGCCCUGGGAUGUCUGCAUUCCCUCUUCAUAUGGCCUAGACGUCCACACGAGUAGCAUUUCACUGCCUUCAAAGCUUUGGCGCCAUCUGGUGGUUCCACUGCACUAUGGGAUGACGUCUGUGAAGACUCCCCCUUGCCCAUGCAGCUAGCACCCCGGCGAUCUGCUUCAUUUAAAAUCACGGCAGUAACAAAGUCCACUGUCAGCUGAGCAGUUGGUUGCACAGCAAUCUGGGUUGCAACAGACUCCCAACCUGAACCCAAAGAUUGUAGUAUCAUGAAAGAAUACACAGCCUCUGGAAAGUUGAGUCCUCUCUGUUGCAGCUCAUGUCUCAGAUUUUGCAUCUCCAUCAGAUGUAAACGCACAUCUCCACCUUCAGCAAGAGCCAUAUUAUGCAGCUUGUUAAAGUAAAACAUAGUGGAUCCAGCUUCUGUCCUUAAGUGAGCCUCUCUCAAAGCGUCCCAAAUUUCUCUGGCUGAGGUCUUAUCACGCAAUAGACAGAGCUCUUCUGGGGAUACUAUCAAUGUAAGAGUUCCCCUUGCUUUGGAAUCCUUAGCUUCCCAUGCAUCUGUAACUGGAACUGGGGGGGUUUCUGUAAUCACCUCAAACAAACCCUCUUUCCGCAGAAUUGCCUCUGCAUACUGAACUCAGUCGCUGUAAUUUUUCUUGUUGAGCUUAGGAAUCCCACAAGCAUCCUGAAGGGCCAUCAUGACUCUGGCAUUAGCCUUCAGCGUCAUAUGCUGCUUUAAAUCUUGCUGCGUCACUGCUGCAGCUGCCUUAUUACAAAGGCACACUUAAAAGUUACUUUCGAUUUCCCCAGCAUAGUGACUUGUGCCUGGGAGCCUUUUGCCUAUUCCCGGCAAAACCGGCUUUAAAAGUUCAAAGUCCAGCCAUAAAGCCAUUAACUUGAAGCUGGCAGGCUGCCCGGAGCAGUAGCACAUACCUCAUCAAUCACUUCUACGCGCAGAGCAGAUUCCGUUCCGAUCUGUCCCUCUGCAUUCCGAUCCUUUGCCGGCACUCCGAUUCGACUUCUGGAGCCCAUAACCACGUGUUGAUUUAAGCAGAGUCUCGUGCCCAGCGGAAGGAUGAGGAAUACGUGCUGCAUACUCUAUAUUGCUUUAUUUACAGUUCAAAGCUGGUAUAUUACAGAAAGACAUCUUGCCUCUGCCGGAGCAGAAAAUGCAUCCUCUCUCCUCGACAGCUCGGAGAGAAUCACACAGUGAAAAACAGGAAACCAGUGUACGUCACAUCCAGUCUCCCUUUCCCGUGAGAAACUCCAACAGUACAGACUGUGGAAUGUAAACACCUGUCUCGUGACAAGCAGAGCUGCACAGUGAAGGAAAGCAGAAACC
rnacentral:lncRNA from 1 species